rnacentral:rRNA from 1 species
GACGAACGCUGGCGGCGUGCUUAACACAUGCCAGUCGAACGGAAAGGCCCUGCUUUUGUGGGGUUCUCGAGUGGCGAACGGGUGAGUAACACGUGAGUAACCUGCCCUUGACUUUGGGAUAACUUCAGGAAACUGGGGCUAAUACCGGAUAGGAGCUCCUGCUGCAUGGUGGGGGUUGGAAAGUUUCGGCGGUUGGGGAUGGACUCGCGGCUUAUCAGCUUGUUGGUGGGGUAGUGGCUUACCAAGGCUUUGACGGGUAGCCGGCCUGAGAGGGUGACCGGCCACAUUGGGACUGAGAUACGGCCCAGACUCCUACGGGAGGCAGCAGUGGGGAAUAUUGCACAAUGGGCGGAAGCCUGAUGCAGCAACGCCGCGUGCGGGAUGACGGCCUUCGGGUUGUAAACCGCUUUCGACUGUGACGAAGCGUGAGUGACGGUAAUGGGUAAAGAAGCACCGGCUAACUACGUG